UUACUGGAACUGUGGGGAAGGGUUUCCCUGAGCAAAGCCCCUGGAAAAAAAGCGAGCAGUGCUUGCCCCGAUUCCCGACCCCUCCGGCCCUUGGUGUUGGCCUGCCAGGAUGCAAAAGAGGACAGGCCAAGAGGGCAAGCCGGGAGGUGUGUGGAGUGGGAAGGGCAUGGGAAGCUCGAGGAGCAAAAACACACAGAGCGGCCGCCAGCAGCCGGCGUAGAGGGCGUGGGAGGCAGGCAGAGCACAGCACUGAAGCAGUGAUUGACCUCCUCACCAGAGACGACUGGAUUAUCAGACUCUGGGCGGGUACUGUGCAAGCUGUCAAGCAACCUCGCAAAGAGGAGGCGGCGGAGGGUGGAGCGUGGACAAGUCCCAUUCCUGCACCUGCAGUGUAAACACGUGACGAUCUGGAAGCUCUUCACCUGCCCAAGGCCCCACCCUGCUCAAGACCCAGAUUUCCAGCAUUACAUCCAGUCUAUGUGGACACCAGUGCUGUCCAAGAAAUCAUGUAGUAAGACUGCAUAUUUGCCAAAUUCCCAAAGAAGUUUACUCUGAGUAUCUAUGGAGGAAAAGAUGUUGGAACAUGACCACCUAUUCAAUGAUACAAAUGGAUCUACCUCAAAGCUCCUGACUAAAUGUUAUUCCGUGGCCAAGGAUCCUGCUUUUGCCUGUUUAAGGCACUUGCUGGGGGCACAGAGUGCAGGCCUUCCUUCUGCCUGUCCAUAUUUGGAGAAUUGUUUGGCCUCUUUAAACAGGAUAACCAGCCCAGGAUUCAGGUAAGCAGAUCUAACAAACUAUCCCAAACAGGAAUCAGUUGUGCUCUCUUUCUCUGCCUUUUGAAAGCUGGAAUGCCAAAUUCUCAGGAUUCUCAGGACUGAAUGCGGCUCAAGACCCGUUCUAAUGGUUUCACUGUUUUGUUUGUGAGGAUUAUCAUCUGUGCAGAUAACUUUGCAUUUGCAUCACUAAUAGACUUCUUUCAAAGGGAAAGACAUUUCAGUAGGGCUGGGACAGCCUUUAAAGUUUUGUUUGUUCCUUUUUGGCAGGGCCAACCUAGUCCUCUUGAAAAGAGAUGGAUUUCCAUGUAAGGGCCUGAUUUGCCAUAUGAGUUUCAACAUAAAUAAAAGUGUUUGUGCAAUUAACUGCUCACAGAGAGUAAAAUAUUACGUUCUUUGUAAUGUGUACAUACAACCAUAUCCGAUGUCUUUUUUGUUCUAGUCUAACACUCACUUUACUAGAAGUAACACUAAUGAUCACACUUUCUUUAAGUCAGAGAAAUAGCUUCCCUCUUCUAUGAUUGGAAGCAUCCUUAGAAAUCAUCUAAUCCUUUCAAAUAAAAACUACUUCACAGCAUCUCUCCUGGGCUUACCGCUGUUUGGAUACAGCAGGUCCAUGGACUCAUUCCACAUCAUUUUGUUAUGACGUUGAUGAGAUGCUGUAGGAACUUAACUCUUCUUUAUUUCACUUAGCCUGUGGGAAAACUG